GUUUGAUCCUGGCUCGAAUGAACGCUGGCGGCAGGCCUAACACAUGCAAGUCGAACGGAGUUAUAUUGUAGCUUGCUAUGGUAUAACUUAGUGGCAGACGGGUGAGUAAUGUAUAGGAAUCUACCUAGUAGUACGGAAUAAUUGUUGGAAACGGCAACUAAUACCGUAUACGCCCUACGGGGGAAAAAUUUAUUGCUAUUAGAUGAGCCUAUAUUAGAUUAGCUAGUUGGUGGAGUAAUAGCCUACCAAGGCAAUGAUCUAUAGCUGAUCUGAGAGGAUGAUCAGCCACACUGGAACUGAGAUACGGUCCAGACUCCUACGGGAGGCAGCAGUGGGGAAUAUUGGACAAUGGGCGAAAGCCUGAUCCAGCCAUGCCGCAUGAGUGAAGAAGGCCUUUGGGUUGUAAAGCUCUUUUAGUGAGGAAGAUAAUGACGGUACUCACAGAAGAAGUCCUGGCUAACUCCGUGCCAGCAGCCGCGGUAAUACGGAGAGGGCUAGCGUUAUUCGGAAUUAUUGGGCGUAAAGGGCGCGUAGGCGGAUUAGUAAGUUAAAAGUGAAAUCCCAAGGCUCAACCUUGGAAUUGCUUUUAAAACUGCUAAUCUAGAGAUUGAAAGAGGAUAGAGGAAUUCCUAGUGUAGAGGUGAAAUUCGUAAAUAUUAGGAGGAACACCAGUGGCGAAGGCGUCUAUCUGGUUCAAAUCUGACGCUGAGGCGCGAAGGCGUGGGGAGCAAACAGGAUUAGAUACCCUGGUAGUCCACGCUGUAAACGAUGAAUGUUAAAUAUGGGAAGUUUUACUUUCUGUAUUACAGCUAACGCGUUAAACAUUCCGCCUGGGGACUACGGUCGCAAGAUUAAAACUCAAAGGAAUUGACGGGGACCCGCACAGCCGUGGAGCAUGUGGUUUAAUUCGAUGCAACGCCAAAAACCUUAACACUCCUUGACAUGGAAAAUUAACCUAUUCCAAAGGGAUAGGGUCGGUUCGUCCCGGGUUUCCACAGGUGUUUGCUGGCUUUCGUCAACUCGUGCUCUGAGAUGUUGGGGUUAAU
rnacentral:rRNA from 1 species